rnacentral:lncRNA from 1 species
UCGAUCAACGGUGUAGUCGAUGGUUCCGCGCCUUUCUCUCUUGAGUUGUCCGCUCAAGGUACCUUGUCUAGCACUUCAAAAAUAGAAUCCGUACUCUAUUAAACUAUUCAUGCAUCAUGUUCAAAUCUAGCCAAAUCAGUUUUUUUGUCCGCAUAAUGACUCAUUAAGAUAGCCUAGUCCAAAGUUCAUCGGGUUUCCCUAAAACAGACACCGCCAUGUUAUGUGCAUUAAUUUGGAGAACUAAAUGCCUUUAUACUAAUUAUUGAUUUAAAUAGUCGAGUCUAGGUGUAACCCUUUGUUUUGAAGAAAAUGAGGCACGAAGUCGCCAGAUUCGGUAUGGUAACCAACAUUUACCCAAGGCUGCUAAGCUGAUGGGAGGACCUUCAUGCCAGCGAUCUGACCCUUUUCCUCAACUUAGGGAAUUUUCCCUUACUUCUCAAAAUCGAGACUAAAAAUAAAAUCAUAGAGGCUGCAACUCUGUUCUGGGAUAGUGUUCGAUCAGUGUUUCGCUUCGGGGAUUUGGAAAUUAUUCCUUUACUGGAAGAAAUAGAGGCUCUAGCUGGUAUUCCUGGGGAGACUCCGGGUCUGCAUAUGCCGGAACACCGCAAAAGUAGAGGACUUUCUUAAGAUGAUGGG